UAUUGCGACAAUGGGCGAAAGCCUGACGCAGCAACGCCGCGUGCGGGAUGACGGCCUUCGGGUUGUAAACCGCUUUUCGGGGGGAAGAGGAAGGACGGUACCCCCGGAAUAAGUCUCGGCUAACUACGUGCCAGCAGCCGCGGUAAAACGUAGGAGGCGAGCGUUAUCCGGAUUUACUGGGUGUAAAGCGCGUGCAGGCGGUUCUGCAAGUCGUGCGUGAAAGCGCCCGGCUCAACCGGGCGAGGUCGUGCGAAACUGCGGAACUGGAGGCAGGUAGAGGCGUGUGGAAUUCCGGGUGUAGUGGUGAAAUGCGUAGAGAUCCGGAGGAACACCAGUGGCGAAGGCGACACGCUGGGCCUGACCUGACGCUCAGACGCGAAAGCAUGGGGAGCGAACGGG
rnacentral:rRNA from 1 species